rnacentral:rRNA from 1 species
UGGGGAAUAUUGGACAAUGGGCGCAAGCCUGAUCCAGCAAUGCCGCGUGGAUGAAGAAGGUCUUCGGAUUGUAAAGUCCUUUCGGCGGGGACGAUGAUGACGGUACCCGCAGAAGAAGCCCCGGCUAACUUCGUGCCAGCAGCCGCGGUAAUACGAAGGGGGCUAGCGUUGCUCGGAAUGACUGGGCGUAAAGGGCGCGUAGGCGGCCAUUUUUGUUAGACGUGAAAUUCCUGGGCUCAACCUGGGGACUGCGUUUAAGACGGGAUGGCUGGAGUGUGGAAGAGGGUCGUGGAAUUCCCAGUGUAGAGGUGAAAUUCGUAGAUAUUGGGAAGAACACCGGUGGCGAAGGCGGCGACCUGGUCCAUUACUGACGCUGAGGCGCGAAAGCGUGGGGAGCAAACAGGAUUAGAUACCCCCGUAGUCC